CCAAUAGCGUAUAUUAAAGUUGUUGCAGUUAAAAAGCUCGUAGUUGAAUUUCGAGACCGGCUUACUGGUCGUGCUUUUGUACGUACUGGUAUAAUCGGUUUCUCCUUUCUGACGAACUAUAAUGCCAUUAAUUUGGUGUUAUAGGGAAUCAGGACUGCUACUUUGAAAAAAUUAGAGUGUUUAAAGCAGGCUCACGCUUGAAUACAUUAGCAUGGAAUAACGGAAUAGGACGUUUGAUUCUAUUUUGUUGGUUUCUAGGAUCGACGUAAUGUGUAAUAGGGAUAGUUGGGGGCAUUAGUAUUCAAUUGUCAGAGGUGAAAUUCUUGGAUUUAUUGAAGACUAACUACUGCGAAAGCAUUUGGCAAGGAUGUUUUCAUUAAUCAAGAACGAAAGUUAGGGGAUCGAAGACGAUCAGAUACCGUCGUAGUCUUAACCAUAAACUAUGCCGACUAGGGAUCGGAUGAUGUUAAUUUUUUAAUGACUCAUUCGGCGCCUUACG
rnacentral:rRNA from 1 species